rnacentral:rRNA from 1 species
CAAACUUGAGAGUUUGAUCCUGGCUCAGAACGAACGCUGGCGGCAUGCCUAACACAUGCAAGUCGAACGAACCCUUCGGGGUUAGUGGCGCA